rnacentral:lncRNA from 1 species
GGUUCGGACCCGAGGAACCAAGGACCCCAGCAGUGAGCCAGCUGCUACAGAGUUUGUCAGAGUCAGCCAGAGGUGAGUGGAACUAAACUUAACCUUUUAAAUUAAGAAAUGAAAUGCUUUUAUCAUGCUUCAUGCAUCAUGAUCAUAUUAUAGGUUGUUGCACUAGAAUUCAUGAAUAUGCCGCAUUGCAUUGUUGUGAUGGAUGUUAGUGGAUGGACAUUAGGAUGAUUCAUUAGCCUUCUGAAUACGAAGUCCUGUGGUGCCCAUAAUAGGGCCGGGCAAUAACUCCGAGUACGAAGUCCUGUGGUGCCCAUAAUAGGGCCGGGCAAUACGAAGUCCUGUGGUGCCCAUAAUAGGGCCGGGCAUGGAGUUGAGGGAUUUUUGAAUCAGUCCAUCCGUGGUGUGAUUUGUUUGCACAGUGACGCAUUUCAUGAUGGCAUGUUUUAAAUAUUCUUUCUAUAGUUCUACUCACUGGGCAUCUAGCUCACCCCUCUCCCCUAACCCCCAGGUUUGCAGGUACGGGAUAGAUAGAGAAGGCAAGAAGAGAAAAAGAAAGUCAUAUGCAUGUAAUAGUUAGAUUGUGGACAUGACAAUUGUAUUAUGACGAAAUGUAAAAAUAUUCAGUAUGUUAUGUAAUGAGGUUAUUGAGGAUAGAGUUGUGCUUGACCAU